ensembl:lncRNA
UAUGAUUAUGUCAUGUAAUUUCUCAAUAUCUUUGUAUCUAAAGGUUCCUAUACAUUGGGGUACAAUGUCUAAAGCCACUAGAAGAAAAAAAAAAGAUUUAGUUUGCAUUAUUUUAAAUAUUAAUAUUAUAAACUGCAUAGUAGUUUGAGCAAAAGAUUAAAUGUAAAAUAAUUGUUAUUUAUUUAGUAGCAUAUGCAAAAUAAUUAUUUAUCUUGGUUUUUAUAGGUCCCAGAAUAAUUAAAAAAAAAAAAGUUAUUUAAAGCUUUCAAAAAAAAUCUCAGAUUUUCAGUAUUCUUAGACUUUUGGAUCCUUCGUUAGCUCCAUGAGUGUAACCGGGCAGUUCACACCAAUAACACACCAGUAGAGGUCAGCAAGGCCAUUUACAUAUUAAACACAGUCUGUCUAAUUAAUAGUGGUUGAUGAGGAGCUAAAGACAAAAGCUCUAGAUUAAUGGCCACCAUACUUCAACCUGAAUGCCACAUAAAUCUUGGAAUAGCAUAUAAAGAAAGAGUCCAACAUCACAUGUACAGUAGGUUUUUCCUGAUGAAGUUCUACCCUCACAUUGAGAAUGCAUUAGUCCGAUAAAGGAACAAACCUUCCAAGCCCCUAUUAAGGACAGGGAGUCUCCAGCACUCUGGGAUUUGGCUUUCGUCAUCAGCACCGACAGCGAGAAGGAAGCUAUUAAAUCAUAAAAUGUUGACUUCACUUUUUAAAAUGAAAGGAUUUAUUAAAACAGUAUGGUGGACCGGGGGGUACAAAAGACUUUGUGAUGUAUUUGGCUGUUACAGUCGUCAAAACCAUUCAUGGCCGGAGAAGCUGGUACUACGGGAAAUCUGCCCGUAGAAGCUGCUGAAGUACUCCACUGAUUUCUGAUCUUUAGAGACUCAACAUGUCGCACUGUUGGUAAUGUAAUGUAUCUUUAAUUUUUUGUCUCACGCUCCCUCUCUCUUUCCUUCUAUUAUGUGUCUUCCUAUGCAACUGUUUUCUGUUUGUCAACACAAAAGUGAAAAAAAAACAGCUGCUUCGUGUGAGAUCUGAUCAGGCCUCAGUAAAUCGUGAGCAAGAGGGCAUGACAGAUAGUGAAAGAGAGAAACCGCUUAUGAAAACCAGCCUUGUGUGAACAGCAUCCAGAUCCAUCCUGGUAAUUUGACUAAUAAGCAGGACAAACAGAGAAUUUGUUUUACUCACCUGAGAUGUUGGCGGUGUGACAUGGUGCUUUGAGAGAUGAGAAUGACCGUCUCUCGUCUUCUCCACUCUCUCUAAAUAAGGCCCUGACUCCACACUCUUUUCCCCAUCUGCUAAAGCUAUUUCCCCCAGCAAGGCAUCUGAUUUCCUCUCCUUCUUUUACCCAUGAGCAUAGAAAGGCCCUGCUCUGUGUGCCGUUGCACUGCAUCUAUCUCUAUGGGUGAAACCUUCGGGACGUCUUGAAUGGCGAUGCUGUUACUUCAGCAGAAGUAGUUCGGGCCGCGAUGAGCGCUGUUACUCUGAUUAAAGCAAUGAUAUACACUACCAUGACCGCAAAUUACCGCUAAUGUAUAUUCCAUAAAGAAUCUUUUAUUCAUUUUAGUGGUUGUUGUUGAAUUUAUAUGGGCUAUAUUAUUGGAUAUAUACUGCAUACUGUACGUGUGUGCAUGUGAGUAUACACUGCACGUAAAACAUUAUGAUUUUUGAACCUUUAUAUAUAUUUUGAACUAAAUUUAGCUAAUCAUUCUGAUUAUUAAGCAUGUUGCUGCAGUUUUUAUGACUUCAGUAAUUGAGAGAUUAUAUGUAAGAUUUAAUUAUAUUGUAUUAGAAUAAUUAUAUAUACAUGCUAUAAUAAUUUAAAUAUAUAUGUAAAAUAAUACUACUGUUGUUUUUAUAAUACAGUUAUAUUAUUAUAUUAUGCAAUUGGUGCUGAAACUAUGAAACUUUCACUCAAAAAUUGCUAAUAAAUUUCACUAACAAUUAAAAAGAAAUGUCA